UACGGAGGGGGCUAGCGUUGUUCGGAAUUACUGGGCGUAAAGCGCGCGUAGGCGGUCCUGCAAGUCUGGGGUGAAAGCCCGAGGCUCAACCUCGGAACUGCCUUCGAUACUGCGGGUCUCGAGUCCGGGAGAGGUGAGUGGAAUUCCUAGUGUAGAGGUGAAAUUCGUAGAUAUUAGGAAGAACACCAGUGGCGAAGGCGGCUCACUGGCCCGGUACUGACGCUGAGGCGCGAAAGCGUGGGGAGCAAACAGG
rnacentral:rRNA from 1 species